CCUACGGGGGGCAGCAGUAGGGAAUCUUUCACAAUGGGCGAAAGCCUGAUGGAGCAACGCCGCGUGCAGGAUGAAGGCCUUCUGGUUGUAAACUGCUUUUAUAAGCGAGAAAUAUGAUGGUAACUUAUGAAUAAGGAUCGGCUAACUACGUGCCAGCAGCCGCGGUUAUACGUAGGAUCCGAGCAUUAUCCGGAGUGACUGGGUGUAAAGAGUUGCGUAGGUGGCAUAAUAAGUAGCUAGUGAAAUAUGGUGGCUCAACAAUUCAGACAAUUAGCUAAACUGUUAAGCUCGAGACCGUUAGGGGUAAGUGGAAUGUCUAGUGUAGGAGUGAAAUCCGUAGAUAUUAGAAGGAACACCAAUAGCGUAGGCAGGUUGCUGGGACGGUUCUGACACUAAGGCACGAAAGCGUAGGGAGCGAACGGGAUUAGAUACCCCAGUAGUC
rnacentral:rRNA from 1 species